UACGUAGGGGGCGAGCGUUGUCCGGAUUUACUGGGCGUAAAGAGCUCGUAGGCGGCUCGGUAAGUCGGAUGUGAAACCUCCAGGCUCAACCUGGAGACGCCAUCUGAUACUGCCGUGGCUUGAGUCCGGUAGAGGAGCAGGGAAUUCCUGGUGUAGCGGUGAAAUGCGCAGAUAUCAGGAGGAACACCAGCGGCGAAGGCGCUGCUCUGGGCCGGUACUGACGCUGAGGAGCGAAAGCGUGGGGAGCGAACAGG
rnacentral:rRNA from 1 species